rnacentral:snoRNA from 1 species
UCAGACUGAAAAUGAUCUCAGAUGUAACAGUGAUCUGUGGUCAGAUAACUGAGCCCAAAGUAUUGUGGUACAUUUAGCUUAUCAUCCAUUAGCCUGAUUUGCGGAAUGAUAAAACCCAUGUACCAACAGAA